rnacentral:rRNA from 1 species
GAACUGAAGAGUUUGAUCAUGGCUCAGAUUGAACGCUGGCGGCAGGCCUAACACAUGCAAGUCGAGCGGUUGACGGGAGCUUGCUCCCUGAUUCAGCGGCGGACGGGUGAGUAAUGCCUAGGAAUCUGCCUAUUAGUGGGGGACAACGUUUCGAAAGGAACGCUAAUACCGCAUACGUCCUACGGGAGAAAGCAGGGGACCUUCGGGCCUUGCGCUAAUAGAUGAGCCUAGGUCGGAUUAGCUUGUUGGUGAGGUAAUGGCUCACCAAGGCGACGAUCCGUAACUGGUCUGAGAGGAUGAUCAGUCACACUGGAACUGAGACACGGUCCAGACUCCUACGGGAGGCAGCAGUGGGGAAUAUUGGACAAUGG